rnacentral:rRNA from 1 species
CAGCACCUCAAGUGGUCAGGAUGAUUAUUGGGCCUAAAGCAUCCGUAGCCGGCGCUGUAAGUUUUCGGUUAAAUCUGUACGCUCAACGUACAGGCUGCCGGGAAUACUGCAGCGCUAGGGAGUGGGAGAGGUAGACGGUACACGGUAGGAAGGGGUAAAAUCCUUUGAUCUAUUGAUGACCACCUGUGGCGAAGGCGGUCCACCAGAACACGUCCGACGGUGAGGGAUGAAGGCUGGGGGAGCAAACCGGAUUAGAUACCCGAGUAGUCC